UGUUUGCCAUUUUGAUGAAGAUGGUUUCGGAUAUCGAGGAUGAUCCCUCAUGGCAUACCGCCGAGACUGAAGAUGAGGAUGCUGGUGAGAGUGGUAAUUGCAGUGUUGGGCAGGAGUGUUUGGAUAGGCUUGCCAUUUCCUUGGGUGGGAAUACCAUUGUUCCCGUCGCGUCCGAGCCUAUUUGCCUGCCCCCAAGUGGCAGAAACACCAUGCAGCAUUGAUUGCCCUUGCAUAGAUUGCUGAGGGUUGUUCUAAGGUAAUGAUAAAAAAUUUGGAGCAAGUGGUGGCAAUGGUCUUGAACUCGUUUCAAGAUCCUCAUCCUCGUGUAAGGUGGGCAGCUAUUAAUGCAAUUGGGCAGUUGUCUACUGAUUUGGGCCCAGACCUGCAAGUUCAAUAUCAUCAACGGGUGCUUCCGGCAUUAGCUGCUGCCAUGGAUGAUUUUCAGAACCCUCGUGUGCAGAUGUUCUGGGAGCUACACUUGCAACUCAUUUAGACAAAUGCCUCGUGUUUAUAUUGGGUGCAUGAAGUCAGGCGAGGUUUUCUCUGAGCCGUGA